CGUACAACUUUUGGUUAAACUUUUGAUUGCUAAUGUGUUGCUAGGCAGUUGCUAUCAUUUCUGAAAAGGUUGCUAAGCUGUUGCUAGGCAGUUGCUAAUGUUUUCCAGGUGGUUGUUAAGCUAUUGCUAACUGGUUGCUAGGCAAUUGCUAACAUAUACCAGGUAGUUGCUAAGGUGUUGCUAGGUGGUUGCUAAAGUGUUGCUAUGCGGUUGCUAGGGUGUUGCUAGGUUGUUGCUAAGGUGUUGCUAUGGUAUCUGGGGUGGUUGCUAAGAUGUUGCUACGUGGUUGCUAGGGUGUUGCUAUGGUAUCCGGGGUGGUUGCUAAGGUGUUUCUAGGUGGUUGCUAGGUGGUUGCUAAGGUGUUGCUAUGGUAUCCGGGGUGGUUGCUAAGAUGUUGCUAGGUGGUUGCUAAGGUGUUUCUAUGGUAUCUGGGGUGGUUGCUAAGGUGUUUCUAGGUGGUUGCUAAGGUGUUGCUAUGGUAUCCGGGGUGGUUGCUAAGAUGUUGCUAGGUGGUUGCUAAGGUGUUGCUAUGCGGUUGCUAAGGUGUUGCUAUGGUAUCUGGGGUGG